CAGGAUCAUGCCCUGAGCUGAAGGCAGACGCUUAAUGACUGCGCUACCCAGGCGCCCCUGAUGAGAGAAGACUGAAAACUCAAGACCCUUGCAUGGAUAAGAUAAUCUGAAAAAACAAGUAGAUGUCUCAGGACUGUCACUCAGCUAUCACUAGGCAAACGUGUCAUUUACUGUCCAAAAUGAGGACACCUUUGAAACAGAAAGGGCACUACUAAUAGUUAUACCAGGAAAUAAUGAUGAACCAGGUCUCUCUCAGACAGAUGAAGAUGUAUGAUUAAUGUGUCACUGCACCCACAUUGUGUUGGUUCAACCUCAAAAGUACUUUCUAGCUAUCUAAAAUAUAUCCUGCAUUUCAUGCUUUUUCAUAGUCUCUACUACUGCAACAUCAAGUCACUUUUUUCAUGCCUAGAUUGUUAUAAUAGACUCGUUAAUAGUCUUUGCUUACACCUUCCUCUCCCCUCCACCCCAUUUCCUCAGCCAAUUUUCCACACAGUGACCAAAGAUAUCAUUUUUAGAGAGUGGUUCUAUACUGGGAGAAAUUUUGCCUGCCUUGGGAUAUUCAGCAAUGUCUGGAGACAAUUGUGAUUUACACCACUUGGUGGCUGCUGUUGGCAAUAAGUGGGUAGAGGCCAGGGAUGCUGUAAAGAUCCUACAGGUCCAGAUGCUAGCCCCCACAACAAAGAAUUAUCUAGCCAAAAAUGCAAAUAGUGCCAUAAUUGAGAAGCUCUAUUGUAAAGUAUAAAUCAGAUCAUAUCACACCUCCAGUUAAAGUUCUCCAACAUAUGUAAAAUAAAACCCAAUUACCUUACCACAGAGGACCUCUUCUUAUCCUCUACAUCCUUUAUCUCUCUGACUCAUAACUUCCUACAGUCUCCCCUCCCACCCCACUUUUCUGGCAACGUCUUCUUUCUUCAAGUCUGGCUGGUCCCAACCUGGGCGUCUGCCUGAACGGUUCUUCUCUUGGGUUUCUGCCUGGCUGGCUUCAUCUCAUCCUCAGGUCUCAGAUCAAAUGUUAUCUACUCAGACAGUCUUUUCUGACUACCUUUAGCUGAAGUAGCAUGGCCCCAUCAAAUCCACCCUCUGUCCAUCAAAACCAUUCUCAUUAUUCCUCUAGUUCUAUUCUCUACACAGCACUUUUGCAAAGAAAAUUCAUUUACUUAUUGCCCUGUUUCUUUCAUCAACUUCUCUCCAUUAUAAUGUAAGCUUGUCUGCUUUUUUCUUUACCAAAUUCCCGAUGCCCAGAGCAGAACAGAUCCUGGUAAAGAGGAAGCAAGCAAUAGAUACUUAUCAUUGGAAAAACAACUACAGUAAAUCACCCUGAUAGAGAAA